UGUAGACUGGGUCCAUUCCUCUGUUGAUGAGGUAGUUUAGGAUAUAGACUGAUGAGCUGGGACCAUUACUCUGAUGAGGUAGUUUAGAAUGUAGACUGGGUCCAUUACUCUGAUGAUGAGGUAGUUUAGAAUGUAGACUGGGUCCAUUCCUCUGAUGAUGAGGUAGUUUAGGAUGUAGACUGAUGAGCUGGGACCAUUACUCUGAUGAUGAGGUAGUUUAGAAUGUAGACUGGGUCCAUUACUCUGAUGAGGUAGUUUAGGAUGUAGACUGAUGAGCUGGGACCAUUACUCUGAUGAUGAGGUAGUUUAGAAUGUAGACUGGGUCCAUUACUCUGAUGAUGAGGUAGUUUAGGAUGUAGACUGAUGAGCUGGGACCAUUCCUCUGAUGAUGAGGUAGUUUAGGAUGUAGACUGAUGAGCUGGGACCAUUACUCUGAUGAUGAGGUAGUUUAGAAUGUAGACUGGGUCCAUUACUCUGAUGAGGUAGUUUAGGAUGUAGACUGAUGAGCUGGGACCAUUACUCUGAUGAUGAGGUAGUUUAGGAUGUAGACUGAUGAGCUGGGACCAUUACUCUGAUGAUGAGGUAGUUUAGGAUGUAGACUGAUGAGCUGGGACCAUUACUCUGAUGAUGAGGUAGUUUAGAAUGUAGACUGAUGAGCUGGGACCAUUACUCUAUGAUGAGGUAGUUUAGGAUAUAGACUGGGUCCAUUCCUCUAUGAUCUUU